GCUCUUGUAGUAUAAACAUUACCUUGGUCUUGUAAGCCAAAAACGAAGCGCCCAAAACUUCCCAGAGCA
rnacentral:tRNA from 1 species